CACGCAGGCGGUGCGGUAAGUCUGAUGUGAAAUCUCCUGGCUUAACUGGGAGGGGUCAUUGGAAACUGCCGUACUUGAGGCGAUGAGAGGGGUGUAGAAUUCCCGGUGUAGUGGUGGAAUGCGUAGAUAUCGGGAGGAAUACCAGUGGCGAAAGCGACACCCUGGCAUUAGCCUGACGCUCAUGUGCGAAGGCGUGGGGAGCGAACGGGAUUAGAUACCCCGGUAGUCCACGCGGUAAACGAUGAAUACUAGGUGUGGGUGGAGUGAAAUCCAUCUGUGCCGAAGCAAACGCGCUAAGUAUUCCGCCUGGGGAGUACGGCCGCAAGGCUAAA
rnacentral:rRNA from 1 species